rnacentral:lncRNA from 1 species
AUAACCCUUGUUUCCUGCCCGCCUGAGUCCCUCAUGUCCAGAGGCUCACCUCUUGAUGAGAGUGAGGUCAGAGUCCUCCAUUCAGAGGGAGUUUGAAAAGUGACAUCAAGAAGAGAAUACAUGGAGAACUGGGAGGAAGUGAAGGCUUUUUCCCUAGCAAUCCAGAGCAAGUACCUGGAGUGAGUAUGAACAACGACUGGAAGCGAAGACUCUGUGAGGAAAAUCAUUGGAUAAAUUUAGUCAUUAGGGCAAAACAACACCCAGAAAUUGGAGCAAGCAUUCAAGAACAAAAUAUUAGAGGAUUCAUGAAACCAUGAGAUAUGCCCCAGAAGUGCCAAUCCAAAAUUCUCCAGAUGCCUAGAACACUUUAACCUUAUUCCUCAUCUCUGAAAUGCUACUCUCCUUUGGCAGAUGAUGAAAGAGACUGGCACCUCUGGUCCUGUGAACUUAAAAGGCCAUGAGUUCCUGAGACAAUGCAAAAUUGAUUCCUGGAGGCCAAGAAGUGACUUUUUGGACUCCAUCCCAGAUUUGAAUGAGGAGCCCACUGAGUUCCUGUCAUUUUGUACUUCCUGUACAGAGGAGAUAAAUAUUGAGUGAGCAGUCCUGCUCUUUCUCUUGGGCAUGCAGCAAGUGUGGUGACAGUGGUGAGUGGGGAUUUUGAAAUGGCUAAUCAGCCAUGGGCAUGUGGUAUUUAUUUUGUAUCCUCUUUAUAAUUGAUUUCUAAUGAUCAUUAAUAAAUCCCUUAAAUUAAAAUAUUUUCA